GACGAACCGUGCAACCGUUAUUCGGAAUCACUGGGCUUAAAGGGCGCGUAGGCGGGUCGUCAAGUCAGGGGUGAAAUCCCGCGGCUCAACCGCGGAAGUGCCUUUGAUACUGACGGCCUCGAGGGAGGUAGGGGCGUGUGGAACUUCCGGUGGAGCGGUGAAAUGCGUAGAUAUCGGAAGGAACGCCGGUGGCGAAAGCGACGCGCUGGACCUCUUCUGACGCUGAGGCGCGAAAGCCAGGGGAGCAAACGGG
rnacentral:rRNA from 1 species